rnacentral:lncRNA from 10 species
AUACAUAGCUCUGGCCAAGAAGUGUGGUUUUGAAGAGCCCAAACUGUAUCUGUUACCUGAUUUCAAAGAAUAUUCCACCUAGGAGAGACCCAGGUCCUGCAGACUUCCUCUGGACACUUUUGGCAGUCAUUGUUCCCAGCUGAUUCUGCAACAGAUGAAGGACGGAGGAUAGAAUCAUGAAUAGCAACAUCUUAAUUGCUGACUGGGUGUUGAUUCUAAGGAUACCCCCAAUAAACAUCUUUCGUGCUAAAGCCCAUUCCAGAAUUUACUUCCCAGCUAUCUUUGAUGUUCAUAUUGUCAGAGGUGGUGGCCGCUGAAACAGGCAAAGACAUGGAGCAUAUCUUGGGUCCAGGACCUUGGGAGUCCAGAGGAAGGUCUUUUUACCAUCAGCAUUCUCUACUGUGUUCAAUGACUGUCAGCCAAAGAUGGCCAGGUUCUCUACUGUGAUGGUGAAUUUUAUGUGUCAAUUUGACUGGACCAUGGGAUGCCCAGGUACUUGGUGAAACAUUUCUCUGAGGAUGUCUCUGGCUUUCCUUCAGAAAGAAAUGCAUUCAAAGAACCUACAUUCACAACAUAAAGAAAUAAAGCCUGCACCUACAGAUCUACACACAUGCCCAUGCACAUGCAGGAAGUGUUCAUCUAAGACUGGACCUUUUAGAAGAAAGCUGGCAUACAUUCGUGAAGGCAUGGGCUUCCAGGCAUGUCAUCUUCACUCACGAAGCACACACAAGACCGCCAAGCAUUAAGAUUCUCCUGUGGAGCCAGGCUACAAUCCUUUAAAUGAAGACAGACAGCUAGGUGGCUGCAGCCCAGCGCUACACCUCACCCCUCCCUCAGUGUCAUGCAGAAAAAAUGUAUUCAGAACUCAGAAGUGAAGUUGUGCAAAUCCAUCAUUGACACUAGCUUCAAGGUUACCUCGGGGGAGCAGAAUGUACCCCUGCCAGAGAGCUGGAUAGAUGAUGAUGGGGACAGAAAUUCUGGGGGAGUUGUAAAUGGCAGCCACUGCCUCUAUAGGAAACCCAAAGGGAACACAGCAGAAGAGGAGGUGGUGGAGGAGCCACUGCCCUCUCGAAGGGUUCAAUGUCAUUCUGCAGACACAACCAAAUAACUUUUUCUUCCCUGCUGCUCCUCCAUUUGAAAUGACAGCCCCGAGCUCGCUUUUUCCUUGAUUGUGUAACUCUGAUUACAGACAAGGCCAAGGCAAUCCCAGGGCAUUACUACAAAGCUAAGGGGUCCCCAAAGAACUAAAGAGUCAGCUCCACAAAAAUCCCGAUUCCUAGCAUGAAACUGAAAUAUGAAACCAAACGGGCAUAGAAAAGGUAUGUGCAUUCGAAUCACAUAGCAGUGACUGGAGUCCUGAGCUGUGUCUGAAGACUGUGAGAUCACGUUUGGAGCUGCUGAUUGGUUUUCAGUGAUGGCCCUGUUGCACAGUGCCGUGAGACUUAGCUCCAUGGCCAAAGACGAUGGUAUCCCCUAGGAGCCCUGUGAGGUUGCUGCUGUUCUCUUAAGACACCAGGUAGCCAUCUGAUCCUCCCUGAGCAAACUAACUGGGCAGACAGGUUUAUUAAACCUCUGUUGGUCCGACUUACAUGAAACAAGAGAGUUAUUUUGUUGUUGUUGUUUUGUUUUGUUUUAAAUUAAACCUGUCUUUGGAGCCUCCUGCUCUUAGUUUACAAGUCUUCUUUGCACACUCUAAUAUUUUAAGAAGCAGCAAACAUUAACUGAGGGUCUA